rnacentral:rRNA from 1 species
AAUGAACGCUGGCGGCAUGCCUUACACAUGCAAGUCGAACGGCAGCAUGACCUAGCUUGCUAGGUUGAUGGCGAGUGGCGAACGGGUGAGUAAUGCAUCGGAACGUGCCUUUUAGUGGGGGAUAACGUAGCGAAAGUUACGCUAAUACCGCAUAUUCUCUGAGGAGGAAAGCAGGGGACCUUCGGGCCUUGCGCUAGAAGAGCGGCUGAUGUCGGAUUAGCUAGUUGGUGAGGUAAAGGCUCACCAAGCCGACGAUCUGUAGCUGGUCUGAGAGGGCGACCAGCCACACUGGGACUGAGACACGGCCCAGGCUCCUACGGGAGGCAGCAGUGGGGAAUUUUGGGCAAUGGGCGAAAGCAUGAUCCCGCAAUGCCGCGUGUGUGAAGAAGGCCUUCGGGUUGUAAAGCACUUUUGUCCGGAAAGAAAUGGCUCUGGUUAAUACCUGGGGUCGAUGACGGUACCGGAAGAAUAAGGACCGGCUAACUACGUGCCAGCCGCCGCAGUAA